rnacentral:lncRNA from 10 species
CUGGGGCUUCUGAUGAAGGUGGAAGGAGCCCUCAGGGCACAUUCAAGGAGUGUCCUGUGAACACUCUCCAGGGGACAGUGCCCAGAUGAGCAGCGUAGCAACCUGCAUGACUGUGGACUCCUGGGACCGAGGUGCUGGACUCAGUGGUUGCAGGGCUUGGAGUGCAGGUGCAGGCUUCCAGGCUUCAGGCAAACACAGAGGUGGGGUUCUGACUUCUCACUGGAGUCACUGGCCAUGGGUCUUUGUGUGCAGCUCCUGUCACCAAGCACCCACCCACUCCAUGCUGGGCUCUGUCACAUCAGUCCCUUGGCC